UACGGGGGGGGCAAGCGUUGUUCGGAAUUACUGGGCGUAAAGGGCUCGUAGGCGGCCAACUAAGUCAGACGUGAAAUCCCCUCGGCUUAACCGGGGAACUGCGUCUGAUACUGGAUGGCUUGAGGUUGGGAGAGGGAUGCGGAAUUCCAGGUGUAGCGGUGAAAUGCGUAGAUAUCGGAGGAACACCGGUGGCGAAGGCGGCAUCCUGGACCAAUUCUGACGCUGAGGAGCGAAAGCCAGGGGAGCAAAC
rnacentral:rRNA from 1 species